UCUUAUGGAUAAACAAAGGAAGUAGUUUCUUGAGAAAGACUCUACACCUGGUGAAGAUGCUGUGAA
rnacentral:pre_miRNA from 1 species